AGAGAGUCUUGCUGCUUUGAAGUUGAGCUGUGACUUUCAGGAGCAGAAGGUAGAGAUAAUCAGCUCCUUUUGUAGUCUGUGGAUCCUAUUUUAUUUUGCCACUGCCUCUACGGUAUCUGGAAUUUGGAACAGAAGUUCCCCAAAGUCAGUGCCUUCUUGCCAUCUGAGGAUUGCCAUCUGCAAGACAUCAUCAAAAUGGC